AGCGAACGCUGGCGGCAGGCUUAACACAUGCAAGUCGAGCGGGCCCUUCGGGGUCAGCGGCAGACGGGUGAGUAACACGUGGGAACGUACCCUUUGGUUCGGAAUAACGCUGGGAAACUAGCGCUAAUACCGGAUACGCCCUUUUGGGGAAAGGCUUGCUGCCGAAGGAUCGGCCCGCGUCUGAUUAGCUAGUUGGUGGGGUAAUGGCCUACCAAGGCGACGAUCAGUAGCUGGUCUGAGAGGAUGAUCAGCCACACUGGGACUGAGACACGGCCCAGACUCCUACGGGAAGCAGCAGUGGGGAAUAUUGGACAAUGGGCGCAAGCCUGAUCCAGCCAUGCCGCGUGAGUGAUGAAGGCCUUAGGGUUGUAAAGCUCUUUUGUCCGGGACGAUAAUGAUGGUACCGGAAGAAUAAGCCCCGGCUAACUUCGUG
rnacentral:rRNA from 1 species